ensembl:lincRNA Gm26615 predicted gene, 26615
CUCGUCACUCGGUCGCGCGCCCUCGGCCCACGCGCUCCUCUCAGAUCCUGAGCCCUUGGUCCCGGGACGCUAUCGCCUCAUCUUUCCCUCCUUGAGGUCCAGCCAGGCCCAAUGAUGACAGCCUGGUCCUGCGGGGCUACCUGCCUGGGCGGGCCGGCGCUGACGCCGAGCGGGCUUUGCAACAGGAAGCACUGGUCAGCCUUGGAAAGAAGGCGGACACCCUUAGGUGGGUCUGAGCAAAAGAGAGACCCAGGCUCUGCAAUCUUGUCUUUCAACGCGAUCUCGUCAAAGGUCAACACAGUGGCACCCUACCCCUGCUUCCAGCUCCUCUCCAAGCCUCGUGUGACAUUGGGGUUGGGGUACUUCGUUACCACCACGGCUAGAUAGACCUUCUAUCUUUCAGGACCUGCUCCUCGGCCCUCCAGUUCAGCCCUAAUAGGGUGAGGUGGGAACUAAAGAACACUGAGCCCUGAGUAGUGAGCACACUAGAAAGAUUCACACCUCCUGCUGGAUUUCAGUCCCAAAGCUGCCCUGACUCUCUACCCAAACUAUAUUAACUGCCUUGGGGGUGAAAGAAGGCCCCGUAGAGCUGGGGUGCCAGCAGAGGCUUUGCAGGUAGAGGCAGUGAGAGGGGAGCCUGAUGGGGGGGGGGGGCAGACGGUUGCCUAGCAACCCCACAGCUGUCUGUUGACCUAGAAGAAGCUGCGCUGUCUUGACACAGCUGGUGUUUACAUGUAACCGAGGCUCUGGCUUAGUGCUUGCUUGGAGCAAAGCUGAGGCAGGGCCCUCGUGGCAGCCUGGUCCCAACCCUGCCUGUCGUGGAUGCUGUGUCUGCCUGCCCUGUUUACACCUCUCCCAUCUCAAGGCCACAGGAGAAAGAGAAGUAGAAAGCAGACCUGAGGUUUUGGGAAGGGCAAAGGUACACGCUCAAACACAACCCUAAGGCCUUCAUCACAGAAUAGGGAGAGACUUAAGAAAAGCAAACCGCAGGCUUGAGGCGCGGCUCAGCAAUGAAGAGCUCUUGAUGCUCUUCCAGUGGACACCAGAGGUACGGUUCCCAGCACCACCCGCGUGGCAGCUCACAAAUGCCUGUAAUUUCAGCACCAGAUUUAAUGCCCUAUUCUGGCCUUGAUGGGCAUGUCUACAUAUGACAGAGAGAGAAAUGCAUGUGUAGAUGCACGUGGUAUAGGUAUGCACAUGGUGCACAUACGCACAAGCAGGCAACACACACAAUUUCAAAAUAUAUAGCUUUAGGAAAGAAAAACAGAAGGCUACCACAUGCCAGUGCCACAGAGAACAGCCACAUACACUACACGGGGACACCUGGUCACAAAUCAAGUGCUAGAGGCACAUGCUAAGAGGUGAUACACGCCUGUAAGUCCUGGCAUUUAGGAGGCUGACGCUGUAGGAUGAGAUUUCCACGGUCAGCCUCUGUCUUAUGGAGGAUUCAAGGCUAGCCUGGACUACAUGAGACCCUGUCACAAAACAAAAUGCAAAAAAGUGACAUCGGAAUCCAACAUAUCACAGAGAUGCCUAAAGGCACACACACACACACACACACACACACACACACACUACAGGAACACAGUCAUUACAUGUUUGACACAUGGACACAGAUAUACCUGCAGAUAGAUUGACACCAAAGACAGGCACGGACCAUCCAACAGACACACUCAAAACAAAUCAGCAACUCCCACGCCCACCCAGCUUAUAUAGUGUUCGCAGCGCUGUGUGACAAAAGACAAAAGCCCACGUACAUAGUCAGCCACGUGUGCUCAGUUGCACACAAGGACACAUUCAACCCUUCAAUUGAGUGCCCACAGUGCCCAAGGCAGAUAGUGGCACAGGAAGACACACCCAGGAGCCCCAAAGGACCACAGGCCCUGACAUGUCCCACCUGAACCUACACAUGUACUCAAGGCACAAACAUGUGGCAGCCCGGGGUGUGGUGAGGACAGAAUUGAGGCUUCUCCCCACCCACAAGCUGUCCAUAGUGACACAUCUGCCUUGAAGUUGGAAAGUCCUAGUCCCAGGAACAGGGCUGAAGGAAGUCACAUGCUGCCAGCGCAUCCGUAAUCCUCAGCCCUAGGGAACAGGCAGUACCCAGACAGUGCCAUCAGUUCCCUCAGGGAUCCCCUAUCUGGAUGAGCAUAGGACCCCUAACCUCUGAAGUCUCUGGACUGACAAAGGAGGGAAGGUCCUGCCCCAGAAACCUGGAGUACAAUGGAUGGAAGCACAUCUCCUUCAAGGACAGCUUCAGACACAAACAUAUAGAGACACAUAUGAGCAAGUGACAGUUUUGGGGCUGGACACGGCCUGGAGGGCUUCCUGAAAAAGGCGAACCUGGAGUCUGGCUUUGAAGCCUAGAAAAACUAGAAGCAGGAAGGAUGAACAUAUUGGAAAGGGCCUGCUUUCCUUCCCUGUCCCAACCCCACAUCCAGCAGUUCCUCCUCCCCCAGGGCCCAAGGGGCCGGCUGGGGCCCCACAGUCCCAUCAGCCCCAGCAGUGAGCAGAAGGAGGAGAGAGGAUAUUUUUAGCUUCUCUGCCGCUGACAUUUCGCAGCAGGCGACCUGGGGUGAAGCUGAGUGAGUGCUGAAGGCUGGGAGAAGCCGACAGCGCCUUCCCGCCCCCACACACAUGCACACAGAGUUGUGCACACGCAGCCAUGUCCCCAACACUAGCAAUGCCACUUCAGUCAUGACACAGCUUCAGGUAUGCAGUUCCACACUGAGACACACACAGGCAUCCAAAAGCACUGAUUUGGUUCACAUGUCACGUGUGACAGAAACCUCACCUAUCUGGACACGCACAAUAAAAAAUGUCCAUUCGUUGAGCAGGGCAUUGGUGGCACAUGCCUUUAAUCCCAGCACUUGGGAGGCAGAGGCAGGCAGAUUUCUGAAUUCAAGGCCAUCCUGGUCUAGGAGUUUACAACCAGUCUGCGGGACCCCAGAAUCCACAUAGUGAAGAGAGAGCACUGAUUCCCAACGUGUGACCUCUGACCUCCCCUGUUCCUGAUGUCCGAGAGCACACGUGCUAAAAGAAUGUAAUUAUCCUUUUAUUUCUUUGUUUGUUUCAGAGACUGGGUCUCUCUCUAUGUGGCCCUGGCUGUCCUUAAACUCACAGAGAUCCUCCUGCCUCUGCUUCUCACAGUGCUAAGACUAAAGGCAUGGUCCUGACCUUGCCUACAUUAAA